UACGUAGGGGCCUAGCGUUGUCCGGAAUUAUUGGGCGUAAAGAGCUCGUAGGCGGUUCGGUAAGUCGGGUGUGAAAACUUUGGGCUCAACCCAAAGCCUGCACUCGAUACUGCUGUGACUUGAGUCCGGUAGGGGAGUGGGGAAUUCCUGGUGUAGCGGUGGAAUGCGCAGAUAUCAGGAGGAACACCGGUGGCGAAGGCGCCACUCUGGGCCGGUACUGACGCUGAGGAGCGAAAGCGUGGGGAGCGAACAGG
rnacentral:rRNA from 1 species